rnacentral:rRNA from 1 species
GACGUAGGGGGCUAGCGUUGCUCGGAAUCACUGGGCGUAAAGGGUGCGUAGGCGGGUCUUUAAGUCAGGGGUGAAAUCCUGGAGCUCAACUCCAGAACUGCCUUUGAUACUGAAGAUCUUGAGUUCGGGAGAGGUGAGUGGAACUGCGAGUGUAGAGGUGAAAUUCGUAGAUAUUCGCAAGAACACCAGUGGCGAAGGCGGCUCACUGGCCCGAUACUGACGCUGAGGCACGAAAGCGCGGGGAGCAAACAG